rnacentral:rRNA from 1 species
GGUAUUUUGACCGUGCAAAGGUAGCAUAAUCAUUAGUUUUUUAAUUGAAAGCUGGAAUGAAAGGUUGGAUGAGAAAAUAGCUGUCUCUAUUUAAAUUAUUUAGAAUUUUAUUUUUAAGUUAAAAAGCUUAAAUAAGGUUAAAAGACGAGAAGACCCUAUAGAGUUUUAUUUAUUUUUAUAAUAAAAUUUUUAGUAUUAAUAAAUUUUACUGUAAAAAUAAAUUUAAUUGGGGUGAUUGAAAAAUUUAAUAAACUUUUUUUAUAUAAAAUCAUUAAUUUAUGAGUAAAUGAUCCUUUUUUAGAGAUUAAAAGAUUAAAUUACCUUAGGGAUAACAGCGUAAUUUUCCUAAAGAGUUCAAAUCGAAAGGAAAGAUUGCGACCUCGAUGUUGGAUUAAAAUAAAAUUUUGGUGUAGAAGCUAAAAUAUUUAGGUCUGUUCGACCUUUAAAAUUUU